AUAUAACAUAAGCUAUAUCUAUUCUCUAUGCAAAAAAAUGAGCAUUUUGCAGUUGUUCUUGAAUUGCAGAUGCUUAUCUAACAUGUGAUUAAAGUGCUAUUGUGCCUUGCCUGUCAGAGCAAUUUAUUGUGAAAUCAUGAGCACAUUACUGGAAAUUCAUAGAAUUCUUUGGCCAUACCUGAGAUGACCGGUCGGUUCAUGAAAUCUUGCCUCAUCUUACUGCAACUGCAUACAUCCUAGACAGCAGUAGAUGCUUAGAGAGUUGUCACUAAGUGGUGACCUUUUUGCUUGCUUUAGAAUGGGACAUGCUGGUUUCAUCUCUUCACUCAGGGCCAUAAUCUUUCUUCCAUGCACGACUUCGGCAAUAGCUCCACUCUCUGAAUUCGUGCGAAAGACUUUUAAGUGUUACUAGCUAUGUACUUAUAAAGAUCUUUAGGUGUUCGAU